GGCUUCGUGGUCGGUCGAGUGGUAAGGACACUUGCCUCUUACCCUGGAGUCCCGGGUUUGAUCCCCGGUCGAGAUCU